rnacentral:sRNA from 1 species
UGAGAUCGCCUAUUUCAGCCUUGAUGCUC